rnacentral:rRNA from 1 species
GCGACACACGUGUCGUAAUCCGCGGUAAUACUGAGGUGGUAAUCGUUAUCCGGAAUUAUGGGGCGGAAAGCGCUCGUAGGCGGUUUUUUAAGUCUGAUGUGAAAGCCCACGGCUCAACCGUGGAGGGUCAUUGGAAACUGGAAAACCUGAGUGCAGAAGAGGAAAGUGGAAUUCCAUGUGUAGCGGUGAAAUGCGCAGAGAUAUGGAGGAACACCAGUGGCGAAGGCGACUUUCUGGUCUGUAACUGACGCUGAUGUGCGAAAGCGUGGGGAUCAAACAGGAUUAGAUACCCCAGUAGUC